GAUGAAGAACGCAGCGAAAUGCGAUAAGUAAUGUGAAUUGCAGAAUUCAGUGAAUUAUCGAAUCUUUGAACGCACAUUGCGCCCCCUGGUAUUCCGGGGGGCAUGCCUGUUCGAGCGUCAUUUCACCACUCAAGCCUCGCUUGGUAUUGGGCAACGCGGUCCGCCGCGUGCCUCAAAUCGUCCGGCUGGGUCUUCUGUCCCCUAAGCGUUGUGGAAACUAUUCGCUAAAGGGUGUUCGGGAGGCUACGCCGUAAAACAACCCCAUUUCUAAGGUUGACCUCGGAUCAGGUAGGGAUACCCGCUGAACUUAAGCAUAUCAAUAAGCGGAGGA
rnacentral:misc_RNA from 1 species